GACUGGAGUGGGUAACGCAGUUGAGUAAAAUGUAAAUUUAAUUUUCAGACAAAAGGUAGGUAGGAAUCAGGAACAUAGCUAGUCCUAAAAUAUUAUUUAUCCCCCCACCCCCCUAAAUAAUUCAAUAUCAGUCAAUAUAUUUUUUUCUCUGAUUUCUUAUUUUCGUCAACCGUUCCAUCGCAUCAUUUACUUUUUACCGGGCCGGCACUAGGACCGGGGGAGGCUGCUGCACUAGUGACUGUUAUACUUUCUUCAGCAAAGAUGGCGGACAUAAAUACUAGGAGAGAGGGGAACCCCUACACAGAACUGAAUCAAAGAUGGCGGACAGAAAUACUAAGAGAGAGGGGAACACCUAAACAGAACUGAAUCAAAGAUGGCGGACAGAAAUACUAGGAGAGAGGGGAACCCCUACACAGAACUGAAUCAAAGAUGGCGGACAGAAAUACUAGGAGAGAGGGGAACCCCUACACAGAACAGAACUGAAUCAAAGAUGGCGGACAGAAAUACUAGGAGAGAGGGGAACCCCUACACAGAACUGAAUCAAAGAUGGCGGACAGAAAUACUAGGAGAGAGGGGAACCCCUACACAGAACAGAACUGAAUCAAAGAUGGCGGACAGAAAUACUAGGAUGGAAGCAAAUGGACUCAUGAAACAACCAGCAAACCAGACUGUCGUUUUGGGAAACAGUGGAUGUAUAGAAUCUAGCUAGCUGAAGAAUUUACUGCAAAUUGAAUGUACAAUUUUGUAAGGUUUCCUUGCUGAUAUUUACCAUGCAGAUAGAUGAAAUCACAUAGCUAGCUAUGUUCUUGCUUAUUGUGCAGUGGAUGAUUAAAAUCCCUGUAUGCCCAUGGAUGUGUAGCUAGCUAUCUAGCCGAUCUGUGUAUGGACCCAAACGUUUGGUAUACAUAUUAGUUAAGAACCUAGCUAUGAACCUCAGCUAUCAUAGCCAGUUGUAUCAACUUCAAAACAGCCUGAAUGACAUUAAUGAAGCCUAUGGAUUGAGUAGAAUAUAAUAUCAUGUUGUGCCAAGGAUGCAAGUCGUAUAUACAUGUAGUUAUUACCAUGCAUGAGAUCCCCACUUUGUAGCCUGUACAUUUAAUAUAUUCACUGAUCAUGUACUCUACCUUGGCAAAUAAAGGUGCAGUUUAGGUA